rnacentral:rRNA from 1 species
UUAAGCGACUAAGCGUACACGGUGGAUGCCCUGGCAGUCAGAGGCGAUGAAGGACGUGCUAAUCUGCGAUAAGCGUCGGUAAGGUGAUAUGAACCGUUAUAACCGGCGAUUUCCGAAUGGGGAAACCCAGUGUGUUUCGACACACUAUCAUUAACUGAAUCCAUAGGUUAAUGAGGCGAACCGGGGGAACUGAAACAUCUAAGUACCCCGAGGAAAAGAAAUCAACCGAGAUUCCCCCAGUAGCGGCGAGCGAACGGGGAGGAGCCCAGAGUCUGAAUCAGUGUGUGUGUUAGUGGAAGCGUCUGGAAAGGCGCGCGAUACAGGGUGACAGCCCCGUACACAAAAAUGCACAUAUUGUGAGCUCGAUGAGUAGGGCGGGACACGUGGUAUCCUGUCUGAAUAUGGGGGGACCAUCCUCCAAGGCUAAAUACUCCUGACUGACCGAUAGUGAACCAGUACCGUGAGGGAAAGGCGAAAAGAACCCCGGCGAGGGGAGUGAAAAAGAACCUGAAACCGUGUACGUACAAGCAGUGGGAGCACGCUUAGGCGUGUGACUGCGUACCUUUUGUAUAAUGGGUCAGCGACUUAUAUUCUGUAGCAAGGUUAACCGAAUAGGGGAGCCGAAGGGAAACCGAGUCUUAACUGGGCGUUAAGUUGCAGGGUAUAGACCCGAAACCCGGUGAUCUAGCCAUGGGCAGGUUGAAGGUUGGGUAACACUAACUGGAGGACCGAACCGACUAAUGUUGAAAAAUUAGCGGAUGACUUGUGGCUGGGGGUGAAAGGCCAAUCAAACCGGGAGAUAGCUGGUUCUCCCCGAAAGCUAUUUAGGUAGCGCCUCGUGAAUUCAUCUCCGGGGGUAGAGCACUGUUUCGGCAAGGGGGUCAUCCCGACUUACCAACCCGAUGCAAACUGCGAAUACCGGAGAAUGUUAUCACGGGAGACACACGGCGGGUGCUAACGUCCGUCGUGAAGAGGGAAACAACCCAGACCGCCAGCUAAGGUCCCAAAGUCAUGGUUAAGUGGGAAACGAUGUGGGAAGGCCCAGACAGCCAGGAUGUUGGCUUAGAAGCAGCCAUCAUUUAAAGAAAGCGUAAUAGCUCACUGGUCGAGUCGGCCUGCGCGGAAGAUGUAACGGGGCUAAACCAUGCACCGAAGCUGCGGCAGCGACGCUUAUGCGUUGUUGGGUAGGGGAGCGUUCUGUAAGCCUGUGAAGGUGUGCUGUGAGGCAUGCUGGAGGUAUCAGAAGUGCGAAUGCUGACAUAAGUAACGAUAAAGCGGGUGAAAAGCCCGCUCGCCGGAAGACCAAGGGUUCCUGUCCAACGUUAAUCGGGGCAGGGUGAGUCGACCCCUAAGGCGAGGCCGAAAGGCGUAGUCGAUGGGAAACAGGUUAAUAUUCCUGUACUUGGUGUUACUGCGAAGGGGGGACGGAGAAGGCUAUGUUGGCCGGGCGACGGUUGUCCCGGUUUAAGCGUGUAGGCUGGUUUUCCAGGCAAAUCCGGAAAAUCAAGGCUGAGGCGUGAUGACGAGGCACUACGGUGCUGAAGCAACAAAUGCCCUGCUUCCAGGAAAAGCCUCUAAGCAUCAGGUAACAUCAAAUCGUACCCCAAACCGACACAGGUGGUCAGGUAGAGAAUACCAAGGCGCUUGAGAGAACUCGGGUGAAGGAACUAGGCAAAAUGGUGCCGUAACUUCGGGAGAAGGCACGCUGAUAUGUAGGUGAAGUCCCUUGCGGAUGGAGCUGAAAUCAGUCGAAGAUACCAGCUGGCUGCAACUGUUUAUUAAAAACACAGCACUGUGCAAACACGAAAGUGGACGUAUACGGUGUGACGCCUGCCCGGUGCCGGAAGGUUAAUUGAUGGGGUCAGCGCAAGCGAAGCUCUUGAUCGAAGCCCCGGUAAACGGCGGCCGUAACUAUAACGGUCCUAAGGUAGCGAAAUUCCUUGUCGGGUAAGUUCCGACCUGCACGAAUGGCGUAAUGAUGGCCAGGCUGUCUCCACCCGAGACUCAGUGAAAUUGAACUCGCUGUGAAGAUGCAGUGUACCCGCGGCAAGACGGAAAGACCCCGUGAACCUUUACUAUAGCUUGACACUGAACAUUGAGCCUUGAUGUGUAGGAUAGGUGGGAGGCUUUGAAGUGUGGACGCCAGUCUGCAUGGAGCCGACCUUGAAAUACCACCCUUUAAUGUUUGAUGUUCUAACGUUGACCCGUGAUCCGGGUUGCGGACAGUGUCUGGUGGGUAGUUUGACUGGGGUGGUCUCCUCCUAAAGAGUAACGGAGGAGCACGAAGGUUGGCUAAUCCUGGUCGGACAUCAGGAGGUUAGUGCAAUGGCAUAAGCCAGCUUGACUGCGAGCGUGACGGCGCGAGCAGGUGCGAAAGCAGGUCAUAGUGAUCCGGUGGUUCUGAAUGGAAGGGCCAUCGCUCAACGGAUAAAAGGUACUCCGGGGAUAACAGGCUGAUACCGCCCAAGAGUUCAUAUCGACGGCGGUGUUUGGCACCUCGAUGUCGGCUCAUCACAUCCUGGGGCUGAAGUAGGUCCCAAGGGUAUGGCUGUUCGCCAUUUAAAGUGGUACGCGAGCUGGGUUUAGAACGUCGUGAGACAGUUCGGUCCCUAUCUGCCGUGGGCGCUGGAGAACUGAGGGGGGCUGCUCCUAGUACGAGAGGACCGGAGUGGACGCAUCACUGGUGUUCGGGUUGUCAUGCCAAUGGCACUGCCCGGUAGCUAAAUGCGGAAGAGAUAAGUGCUGAAAGCAUCUAAGCACGAAACUUGCCCCGAGAUGAGUUCUCCCUGACUCUUUGAGGGUCCUGAAGGAACGUUGAAGACGACGACGUUGAUAGGCCGGGUGUGUAAGCGCAGCGAUGCGUUGAGCUAACCGGUACUAAUGAACCGUGAGGCUUAACCUU